rnacentral:tRNA from 1 species
CGCGGGGUGAAGCAGCCUGGUAGCUCGUCGGGCUCAUAACCCGAAGGUCGUCGGUUCAAAUCCGGCCCCCGCAACCA